GAUGAACGCUGGCGGCGUGCCUAAUACAUGCAAGUCGAGCGAACAGAUGAGGAGCUUGCUCCUCUGACGUUAGCGGCGGACGGGUGAGUAACACGUGGAUAACCUACCUAUAAGACUGGGAUAACUUCGGGAAACCGGAGCUAAUACCGGAUAAUAUAUUGAACCGCAUGGUUCAAUAGUGAAAGACGGUUUUGCUGUCACUUAUAGAUGGAUCCGCGCCGCAUUAGCUAGUUGGUAAGGUAACGGCUUACCAAGGCAACGAUGCGUAGCCGACCUGAGAGGGUGAUCGGCCACACUGGAAGUGAGACACGGUCCAGACUCCUACGGGAGGCAGCAGUAGGGAAUAUUACGCAAUGGGCGAAAGCCUGACGGAGCAACGCCGCGUGAGUGAUGAAGGUCUUCGGAUCGUAAAACUCUGUUAUUAGGGAAGAACAAAUGUGUAAGUAAAUAUGCACGUAUUGACGGUAACUAAUCAGAAAGCCACGGCUAACUACGUG
rnacentral:rRNA from 1 species